GACGAACGCUGGCGGCGUGCUUAACACAUGCCAGUCGAACGGAAAGGCCCUGCUUUUGUGGGGUGCUCGAGUGGCGAACGGGUGAGUAACACGUGAGUAACCUGCCCUUGACUUUGGGAUAACUUCAGGAAACUGGGGUUAAUACCGGAUAGGAGCUCCUGCUGCAUGGUGGGGGUUGGAAAGUUUCGGCGGUUGGGGAUGGACUCGCGGCUUAUCAGCUUGUUGGUGGGGUAGUGGCUUACCAAGGCUUUGACGGGUAGCUGGCCUGAGAGGGUGACCGGCCACAUUGGGACUGAGAUACGGCCCAGACUCCUACGGGAGGCAGCAGUGGGGAAUAUUGCACAAUGGGCGGAAGCCUGAUGCAGCAACGCCGCGUGCGGGAUGACGGCCUUCGGGUUGUAAACCGCUUUCGCCUGUGACGAAGCGUGAGUGACGGUAAUGGGUAAAGAAGCACCGGCUAACUACGUG
rnacentral:rRNA from 1 species